GAUGAACGCUAGCUACAGGCUUAACACAUGCAAGUCGAGGGGCAGCAUGAAGUUUGCUUGCAAACUUUGAUGGCGACCGGCGCACGGGUGAGUAACGCGUAUCCAACCUUCCCUAUAGUAGAGAAUAGCCCGGCGAAAGUCGGAUUAAUGCUCUAUGUUAUUCAAAGCGGGCAUCUAAUUUGAAUCAAAGGUUCACCGCUAUAGGAUGGGGAUGCGUCUGAUUAGCUUGCCGGCGGGGUAACGGCCCACCGGGGCAUCGAUCGGUAGGGGUUCUGAGAGGAAGGUCCCCCACAUUGGUACUGAGACACGGACCAAACUCC
rnacentral:rRNA from 1 species